AGGCACGAUCAAGCCACAACGGCGGUAGUGGUCGUUAUAAAACGAAUCCAAUUUGCGAAAAUUAGCAGGAAUUUUCCUGGAUUAGGUUCACGGCUUUUUCAAUUAAAAUUAAGUGCGCCCUCUGUUGACGACUACGAGAAAGUCCAAGCUGUAUGCCCUUUGACCUGGCACAGUGCCUAAUUAUUUUAUUCUGGCACGCACUGAGUGACCCUUGAACUGUUUUCAAAGUCAUGUUUUUGAAUGUUUCUCAAGCAAAUUUUCAUUUUUUUAAUUCAAUAUUCAGUAUCUACUAUUUAAAUGAACACAUGACUGCAUUUUCCAACGAACACAUGUUUUGGUUUUAUUCGAGCGUGCAUUUGGAAAAUGGCUGACUUCAGCGUUGUGUCAUGUGUGUGGCAUUUGCAAGCGGUCGAAAAAAUCGUGAUUUUCAGUGUAUCCUGAGAUCAAUACCCCAAUUUUUUACAAUCAAGAUGGACCGUACAGACCAACAGGCAAGUUGUCUACAACCAGGAAAUCAAAAAAGAGAACUCAGAGUAGGCACAUGGAUUGAUUGAUGGGGAGGAGCAUACUGCGGGUUCUCUGGUGAAUGAGCAUGACGAGUCGGAACGUCUAAAUAUUGCCUCAGUAGAGAUUCAGAACUCAAUCCGCCAUCUGUUCUCUGACUUCUGGAAAGGUGGUACCAAGAUGGCGGAGCAUGAUACUCUUGAGAUUUGACAGUACAUCCUUUAUGUCUUGAACAGCUCUCCUAGCUCUAUUCAACUGUGUGUGGAAUUAAUUCCUGCCCUACUCAUUCAGCAGACCUGGGCGAGAGAACAAACUUGAAAGGAAAAAUCUAACAAUAUUAUAUUGAUUAAUGAUGUGCACGCAAAAGAAUGAAUUGGAAAGAGCAAAAUUUUAACCUGAUGGUUAUUCUAAGAUAUUUUAACAAUUCAGUGAUUUGUCAUCCUUGAAAUAUUUUAAAUAUAGGACUUGCUG